rnacentral:misc_RNA from 1 species
CACAGCGGUUAUAAGUGAGGCAACGUGACCUUUGUCGGGGUCCGCAUUACAUCAUCCCAAAGUGACUGUCUGAAAAAUAUGGCUAACGGACGGGAAAGGACUUUUAUGAUAAGCUGAUGAAUAAAAGGGCUAAAGUUGUAGUCAACUGAAGACAAAUGUAACCUCACUGAAUGUGAAGCGGAUAACACAGACAUGAGAGUAUUGUCGCUCGCCCUUGUAAUAUUUCUACCAACAAUUUGUGCUUUCCAUUCAGGGAACGCCAAGCCAAAGGAAAGCGAUGACAAACGGGAUUUUCUCGCUGAUGCUAUGCGUGAGAUGGAAUCUGGUAGAAAAUCGUCGAAUCUAGCAUCUGCUGUCAGAAGAGUUCCAAACGUAAUCAGAGUGGUUAUGAGACCGGAAAUUCCCCCGACCCGUCACCACCACCGUGGACACCGACAUCGACACAAGGGUGGCCUUGCCUCUGUUUUCAAAUUAGCCGAGGGAUUUAACAAACUAUCUAUGCAACUCCCCGGUAGUCUCAGAAACAAGACAGCUCGCUUAUUCAAUACAGCAAACACAUUUAAAGAAACUGUUCGAUUUCUCGAAAGAGUCAAUAACCAACUGGACGAUAUGUCAAAAUCUCAAGACAAGACAAAUAAACUGACAAAAACAGUUAAACCUGCAAACGCUACCCUAAAAGGUGACGACGAAGUCAUGGUGACGGAUUCUUUUCCAUUAUUUCCAGAACUGAGAAGCAUCGUUGAACAUGGGAAGCCAUUUGAUCCGGAUGUAACAAGAGCAGCGUUUGCGAGAGCAAAGCAAAUUGUCUGGGAUACCGUUGGGCAGGAUCCGACAACCACUUCAGAGAUUGGUCACUUGAAUAACACUAAAUUGACUAAUGCUGUAGCUCUGCUUGAAAUGGCUGUCCGAGAGGCCGAGAAAAUGGAAAGAAAUAAGACAAAAACUGUCGAUCAAGAAACAAACCCCAUCAAAAUGAUCCCUAAAACCUCCCAAACCAAUACGAAAGUUAAUCGAUCAAAACAGGAUGCAGUGCAAUUAAAGAUCUUAAAGAAUAUUCUUUUACAGGAACUAAAACAAGCAAACUACACUAAAGAAAAAGCUGGCAUUCUCAUCAGUGAUAUCCCAUUUCAGAAAUUAAGAAACGAAGAGCAAAGCAGCUUAAUGCAAAAACUUUCUCCCUCAACAGCCAAUUCUUCUGUGGAUUCAAACAUGAAUCCCGGCAAAGGAAAGCCAGUCGGUGACACCCAGGCUCUUCUCGAAAACUACACUUCGUUUAUAACCAAUAUAUUGAAGGCUGCCCAUCUUAGUGUUUUAAAGAACUUGACAGGUGCGGAUUCAUCAAGUUCACGGGAAAACAACGCUACAAACUUAAACCGGAACAGCCAACAAUCAAAUACUAAGGAACAAAGUGCGCAAAAUAUUUCUCUUCAGCAGUCAAGUGCAGUCCAACACCUGAAUCCGACAAAGGAGCAGCAAAAGGGGCAGCAGUUAUUCUUUGCAAAUGCAGCACAAGAACAACAACAACAACAACAACAACAGAAGCAACAUCUUCGGCCAGUCAUUUUGUCGAAAGAACGUCUUGCGGCGCGAAAGGCUUUUGGUACAGCGCAAAAGUUGGUUAAAGCAUUCCUAGCACGACAAGAACUCUAUAAAGCAGAGAAUGAGUUCUUCAAUAAGAUUCACGAGAUGUUGAAUAAAACAACUCCAAAUGGUCCUUUGACUGCAGGUCAAGCAAGCGACGCAAAAAAUUCUAAGAUCACUAGUCAGCCCACAGCUGCAAGUCCAAUUCAUUCUCCACUGAGUCAGUCUCCAAUAAACACUGCAAGCAGCUCAUCCACUGACGAAGGAGACAAUCAGAAACAAACAUCGGAGGCCCAGAAAAAGUUUGAAGAGGCAGCUCACCUUGAGGAAAAAGUGGCAGCCCAACAGGAUGAGAUGUACGACGCAUUAAUGGGCCAUACAAUUGGAACUGUUAAGGGUGGGGGAGAUGGGGCAUUUGAUGAGGAAGGAGCCAUUCGCGAAACUCCAGAACAAGACGGAGUAGAAGACUCUUACAACACGGAAGACUAUGGCGAUUUCAAGGAUAGUGAUGAAGAAGCAGAGAAAAAGUUCUACCACGACCAUAGUCAAGGCGAUUUGGAGGCCGACGCAGUGGGGGAAAGUUCUUUAAGCCUUCGUAGCAGAAUCAGCUCAGCGAGGUCAGAACAGUCUGGAAGCGCAGAAUCUAGUGGAGUCGCCAUAACUACGUCUAAAAAAGACAAAACGUUCAAUAAUAAAAACAUUUAUUCCACAACUGAAACGAGUGGAGAAAACUCUGGUGAUGGUAAUACCGGGGAAAAGCAGUUCAAUAUGUACUUGGUUUCAAAUUCCUUCAGAACAAACAGACAUAAAACCUUUCAGAAGAUCGCAAAACCCCUUAGCCAAAGAAGAGAACGAAAAAGGAAGACUCAUUACAAAAAUUGAACUUUUGGCAUACGGUUAACAGAUAACUGAAGGCAGGGUUUUGUAACGUAUUAACAGGCGCAUGUGAAAAAACCGGGUCCUAAAUCAUAACGCCAAUCUCAGGUUGCUAUUUGGAGCAAUUAUUGCUGAGAAAGUUAAAAGGGCCAAUUCCGCAAAAAAUAAAGGAUAUCCGUUGUUCUAGUCACAAAUGUUGUAAAAAAAAUCACUUAUAAUUCAUAAUCAGAGUAGAUGAUCUUUGACGAGAGAUUAAUGUUGGUUGUCAGAGAGCGGCUUACUGGAAGAAGAGUCCACGUGUUUCCUGAAUUAAUCAAAACAGUUACCUAACCGUUAAUGGCUUUAAUGACAUUUCUUCUUUCAAAAAACGCCUGAUUGUUUAGUAUCUAUCAAUAUCAGUGUAACGUCCCUCGCUUACUGUCAUCUUCAGAUAAUUAAGAAACUGAAAAUAGCAGAUGCAUGAUAUUCAAAGUACUCCGCCUUAAAAUGAUAUUUGUUUGUUUGUUUGUUUGUUCUAAGUAAAUAGUAUUAUCAUAAUUUAUACCUGGCGAGGGUUUAUUAGCCAUUAACCUGAAUUAAGCUAAUCCCGGCGCGGAUCGAUGAUUUCUAGUAUAAUGCCUGAAAUAAAAUUUUAUUCUGUGAUA